ACCCGGAGCUCCGCCAUUAAAAACCUCUUGUUGUUACAUCAAGGUGUUGUGUUCUAUUCGUGAUUCUUGGGUGCACGCCGAAUCGGGAGCUGAGUGGGGGUUUCCCCACUGAGUUCUUUCAUUUGGAGGUCCCACCGAGAUUUGCGUGACACCCAGGAACCCCGAAGGACCCCUUGGAGGAAGGGCCAGGGUCGCAUCCAGACCAACAACCGUACAUCAUGGUAUGGGAGGACUUGGCACGCUACCCACCCCCGUGGGUUCGCCCAUUCCUCCCGCCUCUCCGCCCUGGCACCAAGAUUCUAGCCAUCCGAGAAAAUGGUGAGAAAGAGAAACCGAAACCACCGCUCGGGAGAGAUGAUGAUCGCAGCACACCAGUGACGAAACCCCCCAAGAUCUAUCCAGAGAUUGAAGAACCCCCUGAGUGGCCCGACACCCCUCAACCCCCACCGUGCCGCAUCAGUUUGAAGUAGGAGACGCAGUCCUGGUGAGGAGACACCGAGCGGGAAACCUAGAACCGAGGUGGAAGGGACCCUACUUGGUGCUACUGACAACGCCCACCGUGGUCAAAGUGGAAGGAAUCCCCACUUGGGUCCACGCAUCCCACGUCAAGAGAGCACCCCCUGGAGUCAGCCAUGAUGAGUGGACUUUGGAGAAGACUACUAAUCCUUUUAAGUUGCGCCUGCUUCGUAGGAGCGAUCCCAAAAGACUUCAACCCCCACAGUCCUGUUCAACAAACGUGGGAGGUACUCAAUGAGGGGGGUAGGGCUGUAUGGACAAUCGCCGAGGUACACCCUCUGUGGACUUGGUGGCCUGAUCUUUUCCCUGACAUCUGUAAGUUGGCUAUAGGAGCCCCUCCUGGAUGGGACUUGGAGGGGUACUCUGACAUUCAGAGGGCACCUUUAUCACCCCCUCCGUACGUAGAAAAACAUUCGAGAGACCCAUGGGGUGGUUGCUCUAACCAAAGGGAUAGAAGUAUGCUUCGAACCCAUCCCUUCUAUGUCUGC
rnacentral:lncRNA from 1 species